rnacentral:rRNA from 1 species
GAUGAACGCUAGCGGCAGGCUUAACACAAGCAAGUCGAGGGGUAUAGUUCUUCGGAACUAGAGACCGGCGCACGGGUGCGUAACGCGUAUGCAAUCUACCUUUUGCAGAGGGAUAGCCCAGAGAAAUUUGGAUUAAUACCUCAUGGUAUGUGAGAAUGGCAUCAUUUUCACAUUAAAGUCACAACGGCAAAAGAUGAGCAUGCGUCCCAUUAGCUUGUUGGUAAGGUAACGGCUUACCAAGGCAACGAUGGGUAGGGGUCCUGAGAGGGAGAUCCCCCACACUGGUACUGAGACACGGACCAGACUCCUACGGGAGGCAGCAGUGAGGAAUAUUGGACAAUGGGCGCAAGCCUGAUCCAGCCAUGCCGCGUGCAGGAUGACGGUCCUAUGGAUUGUAAACUGCUUUUGUACAGGAAGAAACACUGGUUCGUGAACCAGCUUGACGGUACUGUAAGAAUAAGGAUCGGCUAACUCCGUGCCAGCAGCCGCCGCCGUAA